UACGUAGGCAGCGAGCGUUGUUCGGAGUUACUGGGCGUAAAGAGUGCGUAGGCGGUUUUCUAAGUUUGGUGUGAAAUCUCCCGGCUUAACUGGGAGGGUGCGCCGAAAACUGGAAGGCUUGAGUAUGGGAGAGGUAAGCGGAAUUCCAGGUGUAGCGGUGAAAUGCGUAGAUAUCUGGAGGAACACCGGUGGCGAAGGCGGCAUCCUGGACCGGUAUUGACGCUGAGGCGCGAAAGCUAGGGGAGCAAACGGGG
rnacentral:rRNA from 1 species